CGAAUCAGUAAAUCGAAUACGCUAAUAGAGAAUGGAUUGCGCGAUCCGUAUUUAAGCAGACAAGACAUUUUGCUCAAGACAAAACAAGACAUUUUGCUCAAGACAAGACAUUUUGCUCGCAGACAAGAGAAUAAUAUGCAGGAAAAUAAUAGUAUUUCCCGCGACCGCAUGUGCAACGGGUCGUGUUCGUCGGCCAUCAAGGCCUCAUACGCUGUUAAGCGUCUUCCCGCGACCGCAUGUGCAACGAUAUUUUCAACCGAUAUCGCAUUUUGUCUCCAGAAUGCUGCAACCAGUUUCUUAUAUGUUUUACAAUUAAUGCGAUAGUACAAUAAAUAACGAAGAAUUGUCCACGCAGCUUUAUCAAAGAAGUGCAGACAUGGGUUUAAGAGUGCCGUUUAACCUAGCAUCGUAUUCCUUGCUGACUUACAUGAGCUGAUGCUCAUGUUACUGGAUUGAUUAUGGAAGUUAUAUAAAGUUAUAUGCUUGUUAAUUUCAUUGAAGAGCUUGUGCUUCCUUCAACCGAUAUCGCAUUUUGUCUCCAGAAUGCUGCAACCAGUUUCUUAUAUGUUUUACAAUUAAUGCGAUAGUACAAUAAAUAACGGAGAAUUGUCCACGCAGCUUUAUCAAAGAAGUGCAGACAUGGGUUUAAGAGUGCCGUUUAACAUAGCAUCGUAUUCCUUGCUGACUUACAUGAGCUGACGCUCAUGUUACUGGAUUAAAGCCAGGAGAAUUUGUACAUACAAUGGGAGACUGUCUACGUCUACGUCAACCAUAUAAGCGCCCUUGAGGAACAAGUAAAACGCGAACCGCGCGAGUUUCCAAACUUAAGGAUAGUUAGAGAAGUUAAAGAUAUUGACGAUUUCAUUGCCGAGGAUUUCGAAUUGAUAGAUUACAAUCCAUACUCCAAACCCUACAUGAAGAUGGCUGUGUUAAAUAAAACGGUUGCAAAACUGUUGAGUCUGCUGAACGCAGCCAUUGAUAGAUUUAAAAAAAAAACAAAAAGCAAGAACGAGAAAGCAGUCGUGUAACUCUUGUGAAACAAAUGAAGAUAUAUCUACAACAUUCUUUUUUUCUGCGUCUCCAUUGUGUGCAGUUGAAGUGGUCGAAGUUUUUCGUCCUUCGUGGAAAAACAAAUCUUUAUAAAAGCUAUUGGAUUACAAGGCUAUUGGAAAUUAGUAUUCCUAUACGAAGGAAUUAAAGGAGUCAAGGAGGUUUAAAUAAAGCCUAUGUUACAUCUACACGGACAAAAGGCUUUUUAAGAAAA